rnacentral:lncRNA from 1 species
UUAAUUAAUUAAUUGAUUGUAGAGAGAGAGAGGUGGCUUUUUGUUAGUUCAAGUACGAUAUUUAUUGAAUAAGAGGAAUAUGUACAACCGGAGGAUUGGGUGCUAACAAUGUGCCUCCAUAAAAAUCUUACUGGGAUUUCAACCCAAUCGAUGAGAAAAAAAGUGUCUCACACUAAAAACUUAACCAGUAAUACUAUCCUCAAACAGAAUAUCCAAAAAAGUACAUCGGGAGGUUCCUCAGACCACGAGACCUGGUGUUCUAAUGUCAAACUUAAUCAUUUUUUCUCACCACCCUCAAGUGGAUGAGUUUAAAUUUUAAUAAUUAGGUCUAUUCAAUACACAUAUCUCAAAAUAUAAACACUCACCACUUUAUUUAUCAUUGUGGGAUGAGUUUAAAUUUUAAUAAUUAUGUCUAUUCAUUAGACAGAUCUUGAAAUAUAAAUUCAUUUAAGAGGGAUAAAUAGAGUGAUGAGCAUUACUUGAGGGUAUAUGCAAAAAUUCAUUUUUAAUUUUUAUUCUGAUUGAUUUUUUAUAUCCGUGGAGCACAGACUGGGUCAGAGGGGAUUAAAAUUUUGGUCAAUUUGGUACCGAAUAUUACGAUUGAUAACUGUUACUCCUCCUCAUAUCUCUCGUCACCAACCCCUCUCUGUCUCUCUCAUUAAAUUACCACCAUACUCCUGUGGUGAAUCUCUAUAUAUUCAUGCCCUCCGCCUCUUACCACUCCCUCAGUUUUCUUCAUCUACUUCCCGUUGAGCCUUCAAAUAAUUCCUUUUAUAUUUUCACUUUUCCAUAGCCGGUUCAAGCACAGAGAAGAACUAUAUAAGGCUUUGCCCUUUCUUUUUUUUGCCCUUUUCACCCUGUGGUCCCUGGGUCCAUGUAUAACUAUUCACAUUGCUACCUUUACUUUUUGUAUUUAAAGUCCUUCUCGGUCAUGCCUCCUCUGCCUCUCCUAACUUUUCUCUCUCCAUGGAUUUAGGGUUAGAUCGAUAUCUAGGGUUUCCUUUACCUCCUGUGAAGAUGGGUGUGAUGAUGGAUGC